CCGAGUUGUAAUUUGCAGAGGAUGCUUCGGGCGUGGCCGCGGUCUAAGUCCCCUGGAACGGGGCGUCGCAGAGGGUGAGAAUCCCGUCUUCGGCCGGCCGGCUUCGCCCAUGUGAAGCUCCUUCGACGAGUCGAGUUGUUUGGGAAUGCAGCUCUAAAUGGGUGGUAAAUUUCAUCUAAAGCUAAAUAUUGGUCGGAGACCGAUAGCGCACAAGUAGAGUGAUCGAAAGAUGAAAAGCACUUUGAAAAGAGAGUUAAACAGCAUGUGAAAUUGUUGAAAGGGAAGCGCUUGCGACCAGAGUCGGCCGCGGGGGUUCAGCGGGCAUUCGUUGCCCGUGCACUCCCCCGCGGGCGGGCCAGCGUCGGUUUCGACGGCCGGUCAAAGGCCCCCGGAAUGUGUCGCCUCUCGGGGCGUCUUAUAGCCGGGGGUGCAAUGCGGCCAGUCGGGACCGAGGAACGCGCUUCGGCACGGACGCUGGCUUAAUGGUCGUAAGCGACCCGUCUUGAAACACGGACCAAGGAGUCUAACAUCCACGCGAGUGUUCGGGUGUCAAACCCGUCCGCGCAGUGAAAGCGAACGGAGGUGGGAACCCUCAAGGGUGCACCAUCGACCGAUCCUGAAGUCUUCGGAUGGAUUUGAGUAAGA
rnacentral:rRNA from 1 species